rnacentral:rRNA from 1 species
GCACCACAAGAGCGUGGAGUAUGUGGCUUAAUUUGACUCAACGCGGAAAAGCUUAUCUGGUCCGGACGCAGUGAGGAUUGACAGACAGUUUCAGGAGUGGUUCUUGGUAAACAAUUGAGAGAGUUGAAGUUCUUUCAUGAUCUUGUGAGAGGUGGUGCAUGGCCGUUCUUAGUUCGUGUAUGAUAUGUCUGCCUAAUCGCGUCACGAUAACCUAUUGGUCGACAACCCAAUUAUCACAACUGCAGCAUAACUCCCCUUGGGUGGGCGAGGCUCUGUGUAGGAUAGACCUCUGAACAGUACGCAACGAACGCGAUCGUAAUCCCUUGUUGAGUGGCCAUCCUGUAAGCUGCUGGAUUAGGAACCCAGUGGUAUUAUCUCAGCCACAGAUUUUCUGGUUGUAAUGGGCCAGUUUUGAAACUCGGGGAACAUCUGUGACUUUCUUUCUUAACGCAUAGGAAGGUUAUGGGAAUAACA